rnacentral:rRNA from 1 species
CCAGACUCCUACGGGAGGCAGCAGUGGGGGAUAUUGCACAAUGGGGGGAACCCUGAUGCAGCGACGCCGCGUGGGUGAAGAAGCGCCUCGGCGCGUAAAGCCCUGUCAGCAGGGAAGAAAAUGACGGUACCUGAAGAAGAAGCCCCGGCUGACUACGUGCCAGCAGCCGCGGUAAUACGUAGGGGGCAAGCGUUAUCCGGAUUUACUGGGUGUAAAGGGAGCGUAGGUGGCAUGGUAAGCCAGAAGUGAAAACCCGGGGCUCAACCCCGCGGAUUGCUUUUGGAACUAUCAGGCUGGAGUGCUGGAGGGGUAAGCGGAAUUCCUAGUGUAGCGGUGAAAUGCGUAGAUAUUAGGAGGAACACCGGUGGCGAAGGCGGCUUACUGGACAGAAACUGACACUGAGGCUCGAAAGCGUGGGGAGCAAACAGGAUUAGAUACCCGGGUACA